UACAGAGGUCUCAAGCGUUGUUCGGAUUCAUUGGGCGUAAAGGGUGCGUAGGUGGCGGGGUAAGUCAGGUGUGAAAUCUCGAGGCUCAACCUCGAAACUGCACUUGAUACUGCCUUGCUUGAGUACUGGAGAGGAGAUUGGAAUUUACGGUGUAGCAGUGAAAUGCGUAGAUAUCGUAAGGAAGACCAGUGGCGAAGGCGAGUCUCUGGACAGUUACUGACGCUGAGGCACGAAGGCUAGGGGAGCAAACGGG
rnacentral:rRNA from 1 species